rnacentral:SRP_RNA from 1 species
GCCGGGCGUGGUAGCGCGCGCCUGUAGUCCCAGCUACCAGGGAGGCUGAGGCAGGAGAAUCGCUUGAACCCAGGAGGUGGAAGUUGCAGUAACCCGAGAUCGUGACACUGCACUCCAGCCUGGGUGACAGAGCGAGACUCCGUCUCAA